rnacentral:rRNA from 1 species
GAACGGGUGCGUAACACGUGGAUAACCUUCCUUCAGGUGGGGAAUAACCCAGUGAAAAUUGGGCUAAUACCGCAUAACAUGACGAUGGCUCAUGCUGUUGUCUUCAAAGGCGCAAGUCGCCAGAAGAGGGAUCCGCGGCCGAUUAGCUAGUUGGCGAGGUAAUGGCUCACCAAGGCAAUGAUCGGUAGCCGGACUGAGAGGUUGGCCGGCCACACUGGAACUGAGACACGGUCCAGACUCCUACGGGAGGCAGCAGUGGGGAAUCUUGCACAAUGGACGAAAGUCUGAUGCAGCAACGCCGCGUGGGGGAUGAAGCUUUUCGGAGUGUAAACCCCUUUCGACCCGGAAGAAAGCCCGCAAGGGUUUGACGGUACGGGUAUAAGAAGCCCCGGCUAACUACGUGCCAGCAGCCGCGGUAAAACGUAGGGGGCCAGCGUUGCUCGGAAUUACUGGGCGUAAAGGGUCCGUAGGCGGUGUGGCAAGUCGGUAGUGAAAUCUCUGGGCUUAACCCAGAGGCUGUUGCCGAAAUUGCGUGCUAGAGUGUGAGAGAGGGAGUGGAAUUACGGGUGUAGCGG